ensembl:miRNA
UGGGGUAGUGUGGACUUGGAAAUUCCUAGUAAUCCAACUGUGAUAAAGACCAGACACAAGGGCUGGAGAGAUGGUUCAGCUGUUAAAGGCUAGGCUCAAAACCAAAAAUAU